rnacentral:rRNA from 1 species
AUAUCAAUAAGCGGAGGAAAAGAAACCAACAGGGAUUGCCCUAGUAACGGCGAGUGAAGCGGCAACAGCUCAAAUUUGAAAUCUGGCUUCGGCCCGAGUUGUAAUUUGUAGAGGAAGCUUUAGGCGCGGCACCUUCUGAGUCCCCUGGAACGGGGCGCCAUAGAGGGUGAGAGCCCCGUGUAGUUGGAUGCCUAGCCUGUGUAAAGCUCCUUCGACGAGUCGAGUAGUUUGGGAAUGCUGCUCAAAAUGGGAGGUAAAUUUCUUCUAAAGCUAAAUACCGGCCAGAGACCGAUAGCGCACAAGUAGAGUGAUCGAAAGAUGAAAAGCACUUUGAAAAGAGGGUUAAAUAGCACGUGAAAUUGUUGAAAGGGAAGCGCUUGUGACCAGACUUGCGCCGGGCCGAUCAUCCGGUGUUCUCACCGGUGCACUCUGCCCGGCUCAGGCCAGCAUCGGUUCUCGCGGGGGGAUAAAGGCCCGGGGAAUGUAGCUCU